rnacentral:rRNA from 1 species
GAUGAACGCUGGCGGCGUGCCUAAUACAUGCAAGUAGAACGCUGAAGGAGGAGCUUGCUCUUCUGGAUGAGUUGCGAACGGGUGAGUAACGCGUAGGUAACCUGCCUGGUAGCGGGGGAUAACUAUUGGAAACGAUAGCUAAUACCGCAUGACAACAGUUAUUGCAUGAUAACUGUUUAAAAGGGGCAACUGCUUCACUACCAGAUGGACCUGCGUUGUAUUAGCUAGUUGGUGAGGUAACGGCUCACCAAGGCGACGAUACAUAGCCGACCUGAGAGGGUGAUCGGCCACACUGGGACUGAGACACGGCCCAGACUCCUACGGGAGGCAGCAGUAGGGAAUCUUCGGCAAUGGACGGAAGUCUGACCGAGCAACGCCGCGUGAGUGAAGAAGGUUUUCGGAUCGUAAAGCUCUGUUGUAAGAGAAGAACGAGUGUGAGAGUGGAAAGUUCACACUGUGACGGUAUCUUACCAGAAAGGGACGGCUAACUACGUG